UCUGGAAGUAGUUCUAUCAGUUGCAAAUGAGUGAGGGGCAGAGCAUGUAAGAGCAUCUCAACAGCUUCUAAAAGAUCCUUACUGAUCUCCUCGGCAUUAGUGAAAAGGUUAAGGAGAAGAUUAGGGCGUUAGUCUUGCUAUCAUCGCUUCUUCCUUCCUUUGAGUCCUUGCUAAUUGCUCUUCUAGUGGAGAAGAGUACCAUCA
rnacentral:lncRNA from 1 species